CUCCUAAUAAAAAAUAAAACGCAUUUUUCAGUUUUAUCAAAAAAUCGCUGCAUUAAGGUGUGGUAUCACGAUUUUUGAGUAAAAUUAGAACUGAUCAUGAAAACAUUAAACAGAAAUAGUAAACACAUCCAUAUAAAGAAAAAUCCUUUGUUUAUUACACAUAGAGGUUUAUUAAAUUAUUUUGAACAUACGAAUGCUUACUUGCAUAUAGGGUAUAGUAUAUGCAUACUUAUUACAAAACAUCGCAAAAUCCGCACAAUACUGAAUCAUAUUUUCGUACAGCAAAUUUUUAUGAACAUAAACAAUUUUACAACCGAAUUCACGAAAAGUAUGCAGAAUUUAAUGCUACACAUAAACAGUUUUGUCUGUGUAAAGUAUUUUAAACUAAUUUAAAAAAUAUAUAAUAUUUAUUGUGUUAUAUACUAUAUGUAUACAUGUUUGAAACUGAGAAAUAGUAAACUAUAUAACGAUAACUGGUAGACCUACAUAUUUUAGAUGCAUUUAGACUCAAUCAAAUCAUUUUAUGCAUAUGACGGUUGUUUGUGAAAACAAGCGUUAGAAAUACUUCCAUAAAUAUUUAGUUUUACUGCAUAUUAUUUUCUUAAAAGUGUAUAUAUUUAAUAAGUGAUUACGUACUAAUAGUCUUUGGAGUCAACAUAAAUAAAUUAUUUAAAUUAUUUUAACUAUGUAUGUAUAUAAAAAAGUAAUUUUUUGGUAAUAAAUUCAGUAUCUAUGAAAUCACAAAACAUUGGUUUCUCCAAUUCUAUAACACAGCUUGCUUAAUUAAUAUACAUAUGUAUAUUGGUGUAUAGUGUUUUAAUUAAAAUCUUAACUAAAAUUUUGAACUCUUGUGUUUUAUGCAAACUGUUGGUAAAUCACUUCUGCAGCUUUACCUUGCAAAGUGAGCUCCCUCUUAAAUGAAAUAAUAAUUGCAUGAAACCAGGAAAAUUACCAUAAUUUUGACUUUUGCGACCGCAAACAUUACUAUCUAUAAAAAAAAUUGAUUAAAAUAAAAAUGCCACCAUGUUGCAUACACGUUUUGCAUUCAAUUGAAAGAUCGGAACAUAUUCAAACGGUUAAUUUAGUUUAUACAUAUUAUAAUUAAUUUAUUUUUGAUUUUAGUAUUUACAUUUCUAAGUUGUUUCUGGAUGGUUUUCGGUUUAUUUGCGAACUCGCGAAUUGAUAAAUUUACCAUAUUGUUAUUAGUGUAUAUUAUCUUACGGGGUGUUUUAUAAAAAUCUUAUUCUAUCGCCAUUUUUUGCAGAAAAAAAUAAAUAAACAUGGAAGGUAUAUUUAUAUUAAGCUAUAUGUUUUAUAUACCAUAUAUAUUGUAUGUAUGAGCAAACCGUAUUGAUAAUACAAUUACAAAUACUAUUACAUACUUAAAAACGAAUUAUCUUU
rnacentral:lncRNA from 1 species